AACCAUCGGCCGGGAAUCGAACCCGGGGCGCCCGCGUGGCAAGCGAGCAUUCUAGCACUGAACCAAAGGCAAACGGU
rnacentral:tRNA from 1 species